rnacentral:SRP_RNA from 1 species
GCCGGGUGCGGUAGCUCACGCCUGUAAUCCCAGCACUUUGGAGGCCGAGGCAGGUGGAUCACCUGAGGUCAGGAGUUCGAGACCAGCCUGACCAACAUGGUGAAACCCUGUCUCUA